UUUUCCUACGGGACGCAGCAGUGGGGAAUAUUGCACAAUGGGGGAACCCUGAUGCAGCGACGCCGCGUGAGUGAAGAAGUAUUUCGGUAUGUAAAGCUCUAUCAGCGGGGAAGAAAAUGACGGUACCUGAUUAAGAAGCCCCGGCUAACUACGUGCCAGCAGCCGCGGUAAUACGUAGGGGGCAAGCGUUAUCCGGAUUUACUGGGUGUAAAGGGAGCGUAGACGGCAGCGCAGGUCUGGAGUGAAAUGCCGGGGCCCAACCCCGGAACUGCUCUGGAAACUGUGAAGCUGGAGCGCAGGAGAGG
rnacentral:rRNA from 1 species